rnacentral:tRNA from 1 species
GGUUCCGUGGUGUAACGGUUAGCACUUGAGACUCUGAAUCUCAAAAUCCGAGUUCAAAUCUCGGCGGAACCU